rfam:Trichobilharzia regenti genome assembly, scaffold: TRE_scaffold0029832
UCCUAGCUGACGAGUCUCAAAUAAGACGAAAUGUACAUCCUGGAU